rnacentral:rRNA from 1 species
GUCGAGGGGUAACAGGAGUAGCUUGCUACUUGCUGACGACCGGCGCACGGGUGCGUAACGCGUAUACAAUCUACCUUUUGCUGAGGGAUAGCCCAGAGAAAUUUGGAUUAACACCUCAUAGUAUGUUAAGAUGGCAUCAUUUUAAUAUUAAAGGUUACGGCAGAAGAUGAGUAUGCGUUCUAUUAGCUAGAUGGUGUGGUAACGGCACACCAUGGCAACGAUAGAUAGGGGCCCUGAGAGGGGGAUCCCCCACACUGGUACUGAGACACGGACCAGACUCCUACGGGAGGCAGCAGUGAGGAAUAUUGGGCAAUGGAGGCAACUCUGACCCAGCCAUGCCGCGUGCAGGAAGACUGCCCUAUGGGUUGUAAACUGCUUUUAUACAGGAAGAAACACUCCCUCGUGAGGGAGCUUGACGGUACUGUAAGAAUAAGGAUCGGCUAACUCCGUGCCAGCAGCCGCGGUAAUACGGAGGAUCCAAGCGUUAUCCGGAAUCAUUGGGUUUAAAGGGUCCGUAGGUGGAUAAUUAAGUCAGAGGUGAAAUCCUGCAGCUCAACUGUAGAAUUGCCUUUGAUACUGGUUAUCUUGAGUUAUUAUGAAGUAGUUAGAAUAUGUAGUGUAGCGGUGAAAUGCAUAGAUAUUACAUAGAAUACCGAUUGCGAAGGCAGAUUACUAAUAAUAUACUGACACUGAGGGACGAAAGCGUGGGGAGCGAACAGGAUUAGAUACCCUGGUAGUCCACGCCGUAAACGAUGGAUACUAGCUGUUCGGUCUUCGGACUGAGUGGCUAAGCGAAAGUGAUAAGUAUCCCACCUGGGGAGUACGUUCGCA